CACGUAGGGCGCAAGCGUUGUCCGGAAUUAUUGGGCGUAAAGAGCUCGUAGGCGGUCUGUUGCGUCUGCUGUGAAAACCCGGGGCUUAACCCCUGGCUUGCAGUGGAUACGGACAGACUAGAGGUAGGUAGGGGAGAAUGGAAUUCCCGGUGUAGCGGUGGAAUGCGCAGAUAUCAGGAGGAACACCGGUGGCGAAGGCGGGUCUCUGGGCAGUAACUGACGCUGAGGAGCGAAAGCGUGGGGAGCGAACAGG
rnacentral:rRNA from 1 species